GAAGGGUGCAAGCGUUACUCGGAAUUACUGGGCGUAAAGCGUGCGUAGGUGGUUCGUUAAGUCUGUCGUGAAAGCCCCGGGCUCAACCUGGGAAUGGCGAUGGAUACUGGCGAGCUAGAGUGCGGUAGAGGAGAGUGGAAUUCCCGGUGUAGCAGUGAAAUGCGUAGAGAUCGGGAGGAACAUCAGUUGCGAAGGCGGCUCUCUGGACCAGCACUGACACUGAGGCACGAAAGCGUGGGGAGCAAACAGGAUUAGAUACCCUGGUAGUCCACGCCCUAAACGAUGCGAACUGGACGUUGGGAGCAAUCAGGCUCUCAGUGUCGAAGCUAACGCGUUAAGUUCGCCGCCUGGGGAGUACGGUCGCAAGACUG
rnacentral:rRNA from 1 species